CCUACGGGUGGCAGCAGUGAGGAAUAUUGGUCAAUGGGCGGGAGCCUGAACCAGCCAAGUCGCGUGAGGGAAGACGGUCCUAUGGAUUGUAAACCUCUUUAGGCGGGGAGCAAUGCCGGGCACGCGUGCCCGGAGGGAGAGUACCCGCAGAAUAAGCAUCGGCUAACUCCGUGCCAGCAGCCGCGGUAAUACGGGGGAUGCGAGCGUUAUCCGGCUUUAUUGGGUUUAAAGGGGGCGUAGGCGGAUUUUUAAGUCAGCGGUAAAAUGUCCGGGCUCAACCCGGGCCGGCCGUUGAAACUGGCGUGCUUGAGUGGGCGAGAAGUAUGCGGAAUGCGUGGUGUAGCGGUGAAAUGCAUAGAUAUCACGCAGAACUCCGGUUGCGAAGGCAGCAUACCGGCGCCCUACUGACGCUGAGGCACGAAAGCGUGGGUAUCGAACAGGAUUAGAUACCCUUGUAGUC
rnacentral:rRNA from 1 species